CUGUCAAUGAAUAAAAAUAAAAUAUUUUAAAAAAUUGGUUUCAAGCAGGAUCCUAAUGAAAUGUCUUUCUAUGGUCUAUUGGCCAUUUCAGAAAUUUGGAAAUGCAAUGGUCAAUUCAUUAGACAGAAACACCU